GAAUUUGAUAUAAAUUUUUUAUAAAUUAUUUAGUGAGAAGAUUUAAUAAAUUUAUAUUUUGUUGGGAGGAUAGGUAAAUUUAAAUAACUUUAUUUUUAAUCAAACCAUUAAUUUGUGAAUAAAUAUGAGUGGCUUAAUUAAGUUUCAAAAGAAUUAAUUACCUUAGGGAUAACAGCAUAAUAUUUUUAGAGAGUUCGUAUUAAUAAAAAUGAUUGU
rnacentral:rRNA from 1 species